AGAGUUUGAUCCUGGCUCAGGAUGAACGCUGACAGAAUGCUUAACACAUGCAAGUCGAUUCGAAAUUUCCUUCGGGGAAUGGAGGAUGGCGGACGGGUGAGUAACGCGUAAGGAACUUGCCUUUUGGACUGGGACAACUGUUGGAAACGACAGCUAAUACCGGAUAUUAUGAGAUCUUCGCAUGGAGAACUUAUGAAAGCUAUAUGCGCCAAAAGAGAGCCUUGCGUUCCAUUAGCUAGUUGGUGGGGUAAUGGCCCACCAAGGCGACGAUGGAUAGCCGGCCUGAGAGGGUGAACGGCCACAAGGGGACUGAGACACGGCCCUUACUCCUACGGGAGGCAGCAGUGGGGAAUAUUGGACAAUGGGCCACAAGCCUGAUCCAGCAAUUCUGUGUGCACGAUGACGGUCUUCGGAUUGUAAAGUGCUUUCAGUUGGGAAGAAGAAAGUGACGGUACCAACAGAAGAAGCGACGGCUAAAUACGUGCCAGCAGCCGCGGUAAUACGUAUGUCGCAAGCGUUAUCCGGAUUUAUUGGGCGUAAAGCGCGUCUAGGCGGGAAAGAAAGUCUGAUGUUAAAAUGCGGGGCUCAACUCCGUAUUGCGUUGGAAACUCCUUUUCUAGAGUAUCAGAGAGGUGGGCGGAACUACAAGUGUAGAGGUGAAAUUCGUAGAUAUUUGUAGGAAUGCCAAUGGAGAAGUCAGCUCACUGGAUGAAUACUGACGCUAAAGCGCGAAAGCGUGGGGAGCAAACAGGAUUAGAUACCCUGGUAGUCCACGCCGUAAACGAUGAUCACUAGGUGUUGUGGGUCGAACCUCAGCGCCCAAGCUAACGCGAUAAGUGAUCCGCCUGGGGAGUACGUACGCAAGUAUGAAACUCAAAGGAAUUGACGGGGACCCGCACAAGCGGUGGAGCAUGUGGUUUAA
rnacentral:rRNA from 1 species